AGCUCAAAUUUGUAAUCUGGCACCUUCGGUGUCCGAGUUGUAAUCUCGAGAAGUGUUUUCCGCGCCGGACCGCAUACAAGUCUGUUGGAAUACAGCGUCAUAGUGGUGAGAACCCCGUAACUGAUGCGGAUGCCCGGUGCUUUGUGAUACACUUUCGAAGAGUCGAGUUGUUUGGGAAUGCAGCUCAAAUUGGGUGGUAAAUUCCAUCUAAAGCUAAAUAUUGGCGAGAGACCGAUAGCGAACAAGUACCGUGAGGGAAAGAUGAAAAGCACUUUGGAAAGAGAGUUAACAGUACGUGAAAUUGUUGGAAGGGAAACGCUUGAAGUCAGACUUGCUAUUUGGAAUUCAGCCGCAAGGUGUACUUUUCAAUUCGCAGGCCAGCAUCAGUUUUCGGGGGUGGAAAAGGGUAGAGAGAAGGUAGCAAUUUCGGUUGUGUUAUAGCUCUUUGCUGGAUUCAUCCUUGGGGACUGAGGAACGCAGCACGCUUUUUGCAAGGCUUUCGAGCUUUUCGUGCUUAGGAUGCUGGUGGAAUGGCUUUAAACGACCCGUCUUGAAACACGGACC
rnacentral:rRNA from 1 species